UCGCGGCUUAUCACCGGCAGUCCCCUUAGAGUGCCCAACUGAAUGAUGGCAACUAAGGGCGAGGGUUGCGCUCGUUGCGGGACUUAACCCAACACCUCACGGCACGAGCUGACGACAGCCAUGCAGCACCUCUACUACUGUCCCUUGCGGGAAGAGGAUAUUUCUACCCUUGGUCAGUAGCGGUUCAAGCCCAGGUAAGGUUCUUCGCGUUGCGUCGAAUUGAACCACAUGUUCCACCGCUUGUGCGGGCCCCCGUCAAUUCCUUUGAGUUUCAGUCUUGCGACCGUACUCCCCAGGCGCAGAACUUAACGCGUUAGCGCCGGCACUCAGAGGGUCGCUCCCCCAAGCACCUAGUGCCCAUCGUUUACGGCGUGGACUAC
rnacentral:misc_RNA from 1 species